rnacentral:rRNA from 1 species
UAUUGCCCAAUGGGCGCAAGCCUGAUGCAGCCAUGCCGCGUGUUGAAGAAGGCCUUCGGGUUGUAAAGCACUUUCAGUCGUGAGGAAGGUAGUGUAGUUAAUAGCUGCAUUAUUUGACGUUAGCGACAGAAGAAGCACCGGCUAACUCCGUGCCAGCAGCCGCGGUAAUACGGAGGGUGCGAGCGUUAAUCGGAAUUACUGGGCGUAAAGCGCAUGCAGGUGGUUUGUUAAGUCAGAUGUGAAAGCCCGGGGCUCAACCUCGGAAUUGCAUUUGAAACUGGCAGACUAGAGUACUGUAGAGGGGGGUAGAAUUUCAGGUGUAGCGGUGAAAUGCGUAGAGAUCUGAAGGAAUACCGGUGGCGAAGGCGGCCCCCUGGACAGAUACUGACACUCAGAUGCGAAAGCGUGGGGAGCAAACAGGAUUAGAUACCCUGGUAGUCCACGCCGUAAACGAUGUCUACUUGGAGGUUGUGGCCUUGAGCCGUGGCUUUCGGAGCUAACGCGUUAAGUAGACCGCCUGGGGAGUACGGUCGCAAGAUUAAAACUCAAAUGAAUUGACGGGGGCCCGCACAAGCGGUGGAGCAUGUGGUUUAAUUCGAUGCAACGCGAAGAACCUUACCUACUCUUGACAUCCAGAGAACUUUCCAGAGAUGGAUUGGUGCCUUCGGGAACUCUGAGACAGGUGCUGCAUGGCUGUCGUCAGCUCGUGUUGUGAAAUGUUGGGUUAAGUCCCGCAACGAGCGCAACCCUUAUCCUGUUUGCCACCAGUAUGUCGGGAACUCCAGGGAAACUGCCGGUGAUAACCGGAGGAAGGGGGGACGACGUCAGUCAUCA